AGUGAACGCUGGCGGUAGGCCUAACACAUGCAAGUCGAACGGCAGCACAGGAGAGCUUGCUCUCUGGGUGGCGAGUGGCGGACGGGUGAGGAAUACAUCGGAAUCUACUCUGUCGUGGGGGAUAACGUAGGGAAACUUACGCUAAUACCGCAUACGACCUACGGGUGAAAGCAGGGGACCUUCGGGCCUUGCGCGAUUGAAUGAGCCGAUGUCGGAUUAGCUAGUUGGCGGGGUAAAGGCCCACCAAGGCGACGAUCCGUAGCUGGUCUGAGAGGAUGAUCAGCCACACUGGAACUGAGACACGGUCCAGACUCCUACGGGCGGCAGCAGUGGGGAAUAUUGGACAAUGGGCGCAAGCCCGAUUCAGCCAUACCGCGUGGGUGAAGAAGGCCUUCGGGUUGUAAAGCCCUUUUGUUGGGAAAGAAAUCCAGCUGGCUAAUACCCGGUUGGGAUGACGGUACCCAAAGAAUAAGCACCGGCUAACUUCGUGCCAGCAGCCGCCGUAA
rnacentral:rRNA from 1 species